rnacentral:tRNA from 2 species
AAUAAGAUAAGCUAAUUAUAAGCUGUUGGGCUCAUACCCCAAAAAUGAAGUGUUUAUUCUCUUAUUA